AUUGAACGCUGGCGGCAGGCCUAACACCUGCAAGUCGAACGAGUGGCGGACGGGUGAGUAAUGUCUGGGAAACUGCCAGAUGGAGGGGGAUAACUACUGGAAACGGUAGCUAAUACCGCAUACCAUCGGAUGUGCCCAGAUGGGAUUCGCUAGGAGGUGGGGUAACGGUUCACCUAGGCGACGAGCCCUAGCUGGUCUGAGAGGAUGACCAGCCACACUGGAACUGAGACACGUUCCAGACUCCUACGGGAGGCAGCAGUGGGGAAUAUUGCACAAUGGGCGCAAGCCUGAGGCAGCCAUGCCGCGGGUAUGAAGAAGGCCUUCGGGUUGGAAAGUACUUUCAGCGAGGAGGCGUUACUCGCAGAAGAAGCACCGGCUAACUCCGUGCCAGCAGCCGCGGUAAUUC
rnacentral:rRNA from 1 species